rnacentral:tRNA from 1 species
UGCCCCGUAGGCUAAUGGAAAACCACCUGACUCUGGAUCAGGCUUUCUUGGUUCGAGUCCAAGCGGGGCAG